AAUCAGAAAGGAAGAGAAAAGAAAAUGCGUCUUAUUUUCUCCACACAAAAACGACCAUAAUUCUUUGCUGGCACAAUCGUUCCCAUUGUUAUCACAAAAUCACAACAGAUUCAUUUCUGUUUUUCCCAUUUUACCCCUCUUCACAAUAUCCUCUUGCGAUGUUUCAUGUGGCGGUGUUGGUAAAUCUCUCUCUUACAUGCACUCGCAUAUAGAUAUAUCAAUAUAUAUAAGAUCGAUCUCUCUCUUCUCUGUGAAUUCAACAAAACCUCUUUCUUCUUCUUCCAUUUUCUUCUACUUUCCUUCAACAACCUUCAGCCAUGGCGGGAUUCGGUGGGGGCCACUGUUUCCCGUAUCCACUCUUCGCUGUCAUCAUUGUCCUUGCUAUUGUUCACGCGAUUCUUGCUUCCAUUGCAACUAUUCAGUCGCUGAGGAUUCACUUGAGAAGUUUACAGCUUGGUUGGACUCGUCAAAAAGUGUUUCAUCUAUUGAUUGGCUCUUCUAACUGGGGUUACUCCAUUUAUUUGGCAUUGAUACUUCUUGCUGCUUGCAAGGGAUGGACAUAUUGGUCACACUCUUGUGGUUUUAUCUUUAUGGCACUCCCCAAAGUACUUUUUUUUGCAGCAUUUCUUCUUCUUUUAUCCUUCUGGGUUGACCUAUGCCAUCAGCCAGACGAUGACGAUGACUAUGAAGGAAGUUUCUCUGAGGAACCUUUGCUGGGAAAGACUUCAAAUGAAUUGAUUUUAACGAACAGGGAUAGACAUAGAAAGUGUUUUCCUAUUCGCUUUUCUCGUCUUGGAUAUCGUCAAAAGAUUGUGACUUUGGUUAUGUUGCUACUUUUCAUCACCAUUGUGGCAUUUGCUGUAAUAAUCUGGAUUGGGCUUGGAAAGAAUCCCAUUGACUCUGAAGUGGCAGCUCGGGUGUACUUGGAUAUUUCUGCUAUUGGAAUGCUUCUCUUAGGCGGCGCACUGGCAUGUUAUGGAAUCCUAUUAUGCUUGAAGAUGAGCAAAGUGAGAGCUGAGAAACCUUCGUCUGAAAUGGGAAAGGUUGCAGGUUUAACAAUAGUCUCUGUACUAUGCUUCACGUCAAGUUCCUGCAUAGAACUUUUUACGGACAUUCCUAUGAUGUUUCACUGGCAUCAGCAGCGUAUGAAUGAUGUAUAUGCCUCUCUUCUGCUGAUUUUGUAUUUUUUUGUGGGUUCAUCAAUACCUUCAGCAGUAGUGCUGUGGGUAAUGAGAGAAUUACCGCCAGCAGAAGCUGCUGAUGUAGUAGAGGAAUCAAGUACAAUCGCUUUUGUUGCUAAUAGUUCAGUUGCUGCUCAUCAUCCUCGGAGCUGGACUACAGCUACAAGCAUGCAAAAUCAGUAGAAAAAUAAUUUUUUACAUGGAUUGCUCUUGACGGUUGAGGCUUUAAGAUUCAAAUUCAUAUUGUUUCUGACGAGUGUCAUCACACAAGUCACAAGACGUCAAGAGCUAGUCCUAUAUAAUCUUUCCAUGUAAAUCUUCUUGUUCCGCUGGAAUUUGGGCACAGCAUAUUGGAGUUUCUUCGGAACAUGUUGAACCUUAGAGCAAAGAUGAGAGAAAAUGAUGAUGGUGGAUGCAAGUACUAAAAGGCCUUGUGAUUUCCAAUCCUAAUGUACUUGCUUUUUAAAUCUAACUAACUGUAUAUAGCAGCGAUUUGAUAUAUGAAAUUUCUUUUCGUGCUAUACAAGUUUUGGGAUGCAAUGUUGGUUUGGAAUCUCUCGGUUCAAAUAACACUUGCCUGAUGUGAAUAUAAAUGUUGCCAAGCGAGCAUGUUAUUCCAACCUGCUUGUAAACUGAAUCAAUAUCACAGUUUUGACAAGGAUCUUUUUACUA